UGGCGCCCCCUCCCCACCACUGUUCCGGUCGCGUGGGCCUUGUGUAGGCGCUACCUAUUGCUCAACAUUUUCCUUUCAAUUGCAAGCUGCAACAAGGCGCUGUGUCCAGGCCAAGGAGGCCACCGUUUUGCAGUAAUUUGUCCCUGUCAAGGAGGCCAUCGCUGUGAUCCUCAAAGACGUCCUCCUCGACGACGACGAUGCUCAAUCCAACAAAGGCUCUCUGUGACACGGUGAGCAGCAGGCUAGGCCUGAUGCAACAGAGGCAUGGGGUGUGGAUAUGCCGAAGUGCACAUUGCAUGCUUGUUGUUGACACCGUUUUUGGACACGUACCCAGAGAUCGGUAAAGUAUAGAUCGGUAAGAUGGGGCAACAGUA